rnacentral:lncRNA from 1 species
CAGAGUUCCCGACUAGGCCUGUCUGGUGUGGGGCCCAAGAAUGCAUUUCUGAAACAGUCCAGGUCUGCCAAGAGCCUCCGGUGCAGCCGCGGCGAGUCCUUUGCACAUGUUGGCAACACACGCAUCCGCAUCGGCCUCCCUGCCCACAAAGCGCCACAACGGUGACCAGCCGGAGCAGCCGGAGCUGAAGCGGAUCAAGACAGAAGACGGCGAGGGCAUCGUCAUUGCCCUGAGCGUGGACACGCCACCGGCAGCCGUAAGGGAAAAGGGUGUCCAGAACUAGCGACCGGGAGAGCUUUUCUUUAACGAUAUCAACUCUGUGGUGCCAAAAGGAGACGCGGCCUCCCGCCAGCACUCGGGGGUGCAGGGCCCUGUGGUUGGACUUCACCUCUCAGCACUGAAAACCCAAAACCCAGCUGGCCUUAACACUCCUUAAAGACAGAAGUCACACUUGAACAAAACCCACACACAACAAAACCUGAUUUGGGAGACGGUGUCUCCACUGAGCACCUGCUGGGCUGAGCUUCUACCUACGAGUGAAACUCUGUCCUCCCGCGAGGACCAGGCAUCGCUGUGUGAGGACGGCACGGCCAGCGCCUGCUGUGAGUGGGUCUCCCAAGACUAGGCCUCAGGACGCGGGGGGAGCCAUCCCCGCCGCCCUCACAGGACCCACCAGGCAGCGGAGACAUGUGGAAUUAGAGUAUUUUGAGGUGUCCUUUCUUUACAAAAUAAUGGGGUCUUGGGCAUUUCACAUCACUCCAUUUCUACUGAGACUUUCAGAAUCACACAGGCCCUUUCCGUGGAUUUCAUUUGGGGCAAAGAAACAACGUAGUUUUGUUUUUGUUUUCAGCCUAUGGAAUGAUUUCCUUUUGUCUGUCUUGUUCAAGUUCAGACGAAGCUACUCUGGCAUCUGCACAUUUCCGUGUUACAGCAGCUGCCUGAUGAAUUUUAUCCACCUCCAUUUCAGCAUGUGGCUCGCGUGGACAGGUGGACGGACGCUGUGGCCGCAUGGAACCUUGAGAACCCAGGGACGAGCCAGUGCCGGGAAGGAACUGCCGGGACUCACCGAGCUGCACUUAACUGUUCUCUUUCUGGCUAUUUUUUGUUGUUUGUUUCUUUGUGUUGACUUUGUCCCUGGCAAAAUUUUCCACUCUGAGUAAAACAAGUCUCCU